UCGGAGGGACGAUUAGGCGCAAAAAAAGGGAAACUUUUCAGCUUCCCGCCGCAAACGACGCCGUUUCGUGCUCGACCCGAGAACUGAUCCGACCCGCAGGGAGGAUCAGCGUGUUUUUGUUGGAAGGGCUAAUUGCAACUUUAGCCCUUCCGUUUUUUAUGUUUUUUAAUUAAGUAUUUUCUAUUUUUUAAUUCGGCCUUAACAUUUGUCACGUUUUCAUUUGGGCCCUCGUCUGAAUGUCGUCGUUUGGAAAAGAGGGGAAAAUUAUUUGUUUAAUCCCUCUCCGUUACUCGUGUAUUCAGUUUAGUCCUUCGCCUUUUAUUUACUAGCGAUUUGACCCCAAAUUUCAGCUUAGUUUCUAAUUUA
rnacentral:lncRNA from 1 species